AGUGAACGCUGGCGGUAGGCCUAACACAUGCAAGUCGAACGGCAGCACAGGAGAGCUUGCUCUCUGGGUGGCGAGUGGCGGACGGGUGAGGAAUACAUCGGAAUCUGCCCAGUCGUGGGGGAUAACGUAGGGAAACUUACGCUAAUACCGCAUACGACCUUCGGGUGAAAGAGGGGGAUCGCAAGACCUCUCGCGAUUGGAUGAGCCGAUGUCGGAUUAGCUAGUUGGCGGGGUAAUGGCCCACCAAGGCGACGAUCCGUAGCUGGUCUGAGAGGAUGAUCCGGCACACUGGAACCUGGACACGGUCCAGGAUCCUAAGGGAGGCAACAGUGGGGAAUAUUGGACAAUGGGCGGAAAGCUUGUCCAACCAUACCGCGUGGGGUAAAGAGGGCUUCGGGGUGGAAAAGCCCUUUUGUGGGGAAAGAAACCUUCAAGGCUAAACCCUGGGAGGAUGACGGUACCCAAAGAAUAAGCACCGGCUAACUUCGUG
rnacentral:rRNA from 1 species